GCACCCACUGAAGCUCCACAUCAGCACCCAUCGCAGCCCCACAUCAGCACCAAUCACAGCCCCACACUGGCACCCAUCACAGCCCCACAUCAGCACCCAUCGCAGCCCCACGUGGGCCCCCCACCCCAUCUCCAAGAGGUCAGCUGUGCCCCUUAAUGCCAUGGGAUGCCUGGGGUGCCCCCACAACCCCCACCGUACCCCCAAAAGACCCCCACCCUCCCCCUGCGCCCCCACCCUCGCCCUGCACCCAUCCCCGUGCGCAGAUCCACUCCCUCCCUGCUGGCAGCGCUGGGUGCUGAUAGGGACGCGGUGCAAUUCCUGCCCCCGUGCACAGAAUGGGGCCGAGGGCUGCAGCAGAGCAGCACCCAAAGCCAGUGGAGAUGCGGGCAACGAUAGACAGCGGUGUGCCUUGCAAUUAACAGCCCAGCCUGACGAGCAGCCCUGUGACGGAGCAUCCCUGUGACGGAGCAUCCCGGCCCCAUUCCAAUGCCAUUCCCAUUUCCAUCCCAUCCCUAUUCCCAUCACACUCCCAUUUCCAUCCCAUUCCCAUUUCCAUCCCAUCCCCAUUUCCAUCCCAUUCCCAUUUCCAUCCCAUUCCCAUUUCCAUCCCAUUCCCAUCCCAGUCCAAUUCCCAUCCCACUCCCAUUUCCAUCCCAUUCCCACGCCAAUCCCAUUCCCAUGCCAUCCCCAUUCCCACUCCCACCCCAAUCCCAUUCCUAUCCCCCUCCCAUUUCCACCCCUUUCCCGUUUCCACCUCAGUCCCAUUUCCAUCCCAGUGGAAUGGGGUGGGAAUGGGAAUGGGGUGGGAAUGGGAUGGGAUCAGGACUGGGAUCGGGAUCAGAUGGGGAUGGAGAUGGGGAUGAGGAUAUGGGAUGGGGAUGGGAUGGGGAUAUGGGAUGGAUGGGAUGGGAUGGGACGGGGUGGGGAUAUAGGAUGGAUUGGAUGGGAUGGGAUGGGGAU
rnacentral:lncRNA from 1 species